rnacentral:rRNA from 1 species
AUUGAACGCUGGCGGCAGGCCUAACACAUGCAAGUCGGACGGUAGCACAGAGGAGCUUGCUCCUCGGGUGACGAGUGGCGGACGGGUGAGUAAUGUCUGGGGAUCUGCCCGAUAGAGGGGGAUAACCACUGGAAACGGUGGCUAAUACCGCCUAACGUCGCAAGACCAAAGAGGGGGGCCUUCGGGCCUCUCACUAUCGGAUGAACCCAGAUGGGAUUGGCUAGUAGGCGGGGUAAUGGCCCACCUAGGCGACGAUCCCUAGCUGGUCUGAGAGGAUGACCAGCCACACUGGAACUGAGACACGGUCCAGACUCCUACGGGAGGCAGCAGUGGGGAAUAUUGCACAAUGGGCGCAAGCCUGAUGCAGCCAUGCCGCGUGUAUGAAGAAGGCCUUCGGGUUGUAAAGUACUUUCAGCGGGGAGGAAGGCGGUGAGGUUAAUAACCUUGCCGAUUGACGUUACCCGCAGAAGAAGCACCGGCUAACUCCGUGCCAGCCGCCGCUGUAACAC